GUGGGGAAUAUUGCGCAAUGGGGGAAACCCUGACGCAGCGACGCCGUGUGAGGGAAGAAGGCUUUCGGGUCGUAAACCUCUGUCAGGAAGGAAGAACCUCUCAAGGCUGAACAAGCCUUGGGACUGACGGUACUUCCAGAGGAAGCACCGGCUAACUCCGUGCCAGCAGCCGCGGUACUACGGAGGGUGCAAGCGUUAAUCGGAAUCACUGGGCGUAAAGCGCGCGUAGGCCGUCUUUUAAGUCGGACGUGAAAGCCCUCGGCUCAACCGGGGGACUGCGUUCGAUACUGGGAGACUUGAGUCCUGGAGAGGGUGGCGGAAUUCCGGGUGUAGGAGUGAAAUCCGUAGAUAUCCGGAGGAACACCGGUGGCGAAGGCGGCCACCUGGACAGGUACUGACGCUCAUGCACGAAAGCGUGGGGAGCAAACAGGAUUAGAUACCCCUGUAGUCC
rnacentral:rRNA from 1 species